UUUAAAAGUCUCAUUAUUUUUGGCAAUAAAAUGGUUUGUGUGAGUGCCAUUGAUCAAUAUAUAACUUUAAAGGUCCCUGUCAUGAGCUAUCCUUGUAGUUCCUGUUUUGGAGCUUGGGUGGCGCUUUGCGCCCCUCUCGCGCACUCUCUCUCUCUCCCUUCCCUGUAAUCAGCACCACCUUGGCCGCGCACCUGUUUUCAAUCAGCCCGCAUCAUCUCUGCCUGCAUAAAAGCCUGCCAGAUCCUGGAAAUCCUCGCUAGAGUAUUAACGUUCCACUGUGGUACACUGGCCUUGCACGUUCACGAAGCGCAGCUACGAGUCACGUUGAAUCAUCGCUCCCAUGAUGCUUCAAGAGACCACGCACACAUCCAUUCAGGCAGGCUGUGAUUGGUCCGUGGCUUCACACAAGAGACAUUGGUCGCGGGCAUGCUGGAGCCUAUCCCAGCUAACUGCAGGCAGGAGGCGGGGUACAUCCUGAACUGGUCGCCAGCCCAUUGCAGGGCACAUAGAAACAAACAACCAUUCGCGCACACAUUCACAGGU